ACACCGGCAGCUCUAGUGGUAGCAAUUUUUAUUGGGCCUAAAGCGUCCGUAGCCGGUUUAAUAAGUCUCUGGUGAAAUCCUGCAGCUUAACUGUGGGAAUUGCUGGAGAUACUAUUAGACUUGAGACCGGGAGAGGUUAGAGGUACUCCCAGGGUAGAGGUGAAAUUCUGUAAUCCUGGGAGGACCGCCUGUUGCGAAGGCGUCUAACUGGAACGGUUCUGACGGUGAGGGACGAAAGUUAGGGGCGCGAACCGGAUUAGAUACCCGGGUAGUCCUAACUGUAAACGAUGCGGACUUGGUGUUGGGGUGGCUUUGAGCUGCUUCAGUGCCGAAGGGAAGCUGUUAAGUCCGCCGCCUGGGAAGUACGGUCGCAAGACUGAAACUUAAAGGAAUUGGCGGGG
rnacentral:rRNA from 1 species